UUGCUCUGUGAUUGAAAGCCGUAAUUAGCUCCUGUAGGAUUUAUAAGACAAUGAGUUGAAAUGCUCAAGCCUUGUGAGCUAGAGGAGAACAAACCUGUGUGCAAAAUACUCCUUCAACUCUUGGUCAUAGACAACAUCAGGUUUCUGGAAAAGCAAGUUAAGCAAUGGAUCCUGGCACACUCGGAACAAGGCCAUUACUCACAUUCUAUCUUCUCUCUGGAAUGGACGACCUGCUCC
rnacentral:lncRNA from 1 species